rnacentral:rRNA from 1 species
UGCAUGUCUAAGUAUAAGCAAUUAUACCGCGAAACUGCGAAUGGCUCAUUAUAUAAGUUAUCGUUUAUUUGAUAAUACUUUACUACUUGGAUAACCGUGGUAAUUCUAGAGCUAAUACAUGCUAAAAAUCCCGACUUCGGAAGGGUUGUAUUUAUUAGAUUAAAAACCAAUGCCCCUCGGGGCUCUCUGGUGAAUCAUGAUAACUAGUCGAAUCGACAGGCCUUGUGCCGGCGAUGGCUCAUUCAAAUUUCUUCCCUAUCAACUUUCGAUGUUUGGGUCUUGUCCAAACAUGGUGGCAACGGGUAACGGAGGGUUAGGGCUCGACCCCGGAGAAGGAGCCUGAGAAACGGCUACUACAUCCAAGGAAGGCAGCAGGCGCGCAAAUUACCCAAUCCCGACACGGGGAGGUAGUGACAAUAAAUACUGAUACAGGGCUCUUUUGGGUCUUGUAAUCGGAAUGAGUACAAUUUAAAUCCCUUAACGAGGAACAAUUGGAGGGCAAGUCUGGUGCCAGCAGCCGCGGUAAUUCCAGCUCCAAUAGCGUAUAUUAAAGUUGUUGUGGUUAAAAAGCUCGUAGUUGAACCUUGGGCCUGGCUGGCCGGUCCGCCUCACCGCGUGCACUGGUCCGGCCGGGCCUUUCCCUCUGCGGAACCCCAUGCCCUUCACUGGGUGUGGCGGGGAAACAGGACUUUUACUUUGAAAAAAUUAGAGUGCUCAAGGCAGGCCUAUGCUCGAAUACAUUAGCAUGGAAUAAUAGAAUAGGACGUGUGGUUCUAUUUUGU